AUACGGAGGGUGCAAGCGUUGUUCGGAAUCAUUGGGCGUAAAGCGCACGCAGGCGGACUUUCAAGUCUGAUGUGAAAUCCCGGGGCUCAACCUCGGAACUGCAUUGGAAACUGGAAGUCUUGAAUAUGAGAGGGGUUAGUGGAAUUCUUGGUGUAGGGGUGAAAUCCGUAGAUAUCAGGAGGAACACCAGUGGCGAAGGCGACUGACUGGAUCAUAAUUGACGCUGAGGUGCGAAAGCGUGGGUAGCGAACGGGAUUAGAAACCCCGGUAGUCC
rnacentral:rRNA from 1 species